UUCACUUUCAUUUUCAUUCGUUUUCUUCUCUCUGCAAAUUCAGAACCAAACGCUCUCUCUCCAUAUUCAAAACCCAAACCCCACCACCAACCCACCUCGUCUCCCAAAUCCUCUUCGACCAAAAUGUAUAGAAAAUCAUUGUUGGUGUAGUGGACAUUGAAGCACAUUGAAGCAAUUAUUGAAGACGGGAAGGCUGAGCAAAUCCAUGUUGUGACUCGAUGAAGAGAACUUGAGCUCUGGAACAAGACAUUUCAGGAGGGUCAAACCUACAUGGUAUAGAAUCAUGAGGCUCUGGAACAAGAACAAAGCAAGUUGAAAAUUUAUGUAGUUUAUGUAAAGUCAAGAAUGACAUUUUGGCGACAAGUUGUUGCAUUGGGAUUUACCAACUAAAACUUAUCUUUUGGCCCUAACCUGCCUUUGUUUUAUCUAUAAUUAUGUUUAGUUGUCUUUGAAACAAUGUUUUAUUCUUCAAUUAGUUUCUGUUUGGAACAAUGUUAACAAAUGGUAUGUAAGAAUUAUGUUGAA